rnacentral:rRNA from 1 species
AGUGAACGCUGGCGGUAGGCCUAACACAUGCAAGUCGAACGGCAGCACAGUAAGAGCUUGCUCUUACGGGUGGCGAGUGGCGGACGGGUGAGGAAUACAUCGGAAUCUACUUUUUCGUGGGGGAUAACGUAGGGAAACUUCCGCUAAUACCGCAUACGACCUACGGGUGAAAGCAGGGGAUCUUCGGACCUUUCGCGAUUGAAUGAGCCGAUGUCGGAUUAGCUAGUUGGCGGGGUAAAGGCCCACCAAGGCGACGAUCCGUAGCUGGUCUGAGAGGAUGAUCAGCCACACUGGAACUGAGACACGGUCCAGACUCCUACGGGAGGCAGCAGUGGGGAAUAUUGGACAAUGGGCGAAAGCCUGAUCCAGCAAUACCGCGUGGGUGAAGAAGGUCUUCGGGUUGUAAAGCCCUUUUGUUGGGAAAGAAAAGCAGCAGGUUAAUCCCCCGAUGUUCUGACGGUACCCAAAGAAUAAGCAACGGCUAACUUCGUG